GUGCCAGCAGCCGCGGUAAUACGUAGGUGGCAAGCGUUGUCCGGAAUUAUUGGGCGUAAAGCGCGCGCAGGCGGUCCUUUAAGUCUGAUGUGAAAGCCCACGGCUCAACCGUGGAGGGUCAUUGGAAACUGGGGGACUUGAGUGCAGAAGAGGAGAGUGGAAUUCCACGUGUAGCGGUGAAAUGCGUAGAGAUGUGGAGGAACACCAGUGGCGAAGCGACUCUCUGGUCUGUAACUGACGCUGAGGCGCGAAAGCGUGGGGAGCGAACAGGAUUGUAUACCCUUGUUAGUCC
rnacentral:rRNA from 1 species